GACGAACGCUGGCGGCGUGCUUAACACAUGCCAGUCGAACGGAAAGGCCCUGCUUUUGUGGGGUGCUCGAGUGGCGAACGGGUGAGUAACACGUGAGUAACCUGCCCUUGACUUUGGGAUAACUUCAGGAAACUGGGGCUAAUACCGGAUAGGAGCUCCUGCUGCAUGGUGGGGGUUGGAAAGUUUCGGCGGUUGGGGAUGGACUCGCGGCUUAUCAGCUUGUUGGUGGGGUAGUGGCUUACCAAGGCUUUGACGGGUAGCCGGCCUGAGAGGGUGACCGGCCACAUUGGGACUGAGAGACGGCCCAGACUCCUACGGGAGGCAGCAGUGGGGAGUAUUGCACAAUGGGCGGGAGCCUGAUGCAGCAGCGCCGCGUGCGUGAUGACGGCCUUCGGGUUAUAAACCGCUUUCGCCUGUGACGAAGCGUGAGUGACGGUAAUGGGUAAAGAAGCACCGGCUAACUACGUG
rnacentral:rRNA from 1 species